UACAGGGGGUGCAAACGUUGCUCGGAAUUAUUGGGCGUAAAGAGCGUGUAGGCGGCUCGAUAAGUCUGCUGUGAAAGUCCAGGGCUCAACCCUGGAAGGCCGGUGGAAACUGUCGGGCUAGAGUCCGGAAGAGGCGAGUGGAAUUCCCGGUGUAGCGGUGAAAUGCGCAGAUAUCGGGAGGAACACCAAUGGCGAAGGCAGCUCGCUGGGACGGUACUGACGCUGAGACGCGAAAGCGUGGGGAGCAAACAGG
rnacentral:rRNA from 1 species